CAGUAGCCGCGGGAAUACGAAGGGGGCUAGCGUUGUUCGGAAUUACUGGGCGUAAAGCGCACGUAGGCGGAUUGUUAAGUUAGGGGUGAAAUCCCAGGGCUCAACCCUGGAACUGCCUUUAAUACUGGCAAUCUCGAGUCCGAGAGAGGUGAGUGGAAUUCCGAGUGUAGAGGUGAAAUUCGUAGAUAUUCGGAGGAACACCAGUGGCGAAGGCGGCUCACUGGCUCGGUACUGACGCUGAGGUGCGAAAGCGUGGGGAGCAAACAGGAUUAGAUACCCCCGUAGUCCCUGUCUCUUAUAA
rnacentral:rRNA from 1 species